GUGAAGAAACCCGGCAAGGCCAAUAAGUGACGAAAUAUUCAUGCACUGA
rnacentral:snoRNA from 1 species